rnacentral:lncRNA from 1 species
GCAGAGAUAACCAUCCUUAGUCUUGGCCAGAUUUUGGCCUAAAUAAUAUAUUGAAAUUUUGAACCAAAGAAGCACCAAACAAACGAUGCAUAUUGACACUAGAUAAAUGAAACUACAUGAACCAAAAACACUGCCAACAUGAAUAAAUUAGCCAUGACAUGGAUUACAACAACUUGAAAUAGCUAAAUCAUGCUUUCAGUUUAAUAUGGAGACAAAUUCUACUAAAACUAAACAGGGAGUAGGCUGAGUAAUUAAGAAUCAUAAGGAUCAAAAGGAAGAUCG